rnacentral:lncRNA from 1 species
CCAGAGCAACUUUGUGAUUUUCAUUCUUUAACUGAUUAAGGUUUAUUUAUUCAUAAAUUAAAUUGGAAGUUUCGAAAAAUGUGACCUUUGUAUUGAAUCUGCUUCGAACUAAUGCAAUUUUUAUCUACCUGAUUGUAACUUAAAAUGAACUAUUUCUAUUUGCUCAAUUUUUGACAUUUUAUAUGCAUACAAGUUAAAAAGGUUUUGUUUAUUUUUAUUUUUUUAUUUUUUCAGGUAAUGCAGAUUAGGGAAAAGAUUCAUGGAGCACAUCAUGAUAUGAUGGUGGAAGAUGCACUGCCCCAUGAUGGAUUGAAAAAGAGUCUGACUAUAGUGGAAAGCAAGACCGAGGAAGUAAUAGAAGACAGUGUUCAACCUGAAGAGCCAGAAGAGAAUGAUGAUAUUACUAGAUAUGGACCGGCAAUUUCAGGUGAGUUUGUGGAAGAAACAAAUUCAGAUGAGGGGUGGCAAGAAGCCAAUCCAAAAGGUAGGUCAGGAAAUGCUGCUGUUCGGAAGCUCAGCCGGAGGCGGCCUGUUCUUACAAAGCUAAAUGUCAAUGGUUGUGAACAUUCAAAUCUUAGAGAAAAAGGCAAUAGACGGGAAAUUGUAUCUCCAGCACGGGAAAAAGCUUCAAGGACCACCACCACUGAGUUAACAGGCAUGAAGGAUUCAAUUAAAUUGCAGGCAAAAGCUUCUGUCUCCAAAGUUUAUGCAAGUCCACCAAACCUUACUGCCAUGGCUUCCAAGUCGCUGUCUUACAAAGAAGUAGCUGUGGCACCUCCAGGUACGGUUCUAAAGCCAUUACCAGAGAAACCGGAUGAAGAAAUUGAAGAAAAAACUGAAACACAGAUGUGCAGUAAUGCUCCUGAGACAUCAAAGGCGGAGUUGAAUAACCAUUUCUCUCCCGUUGAAGAUGCGCCAGUUGAUGGUCAGUCUCAAGAAACUCAUGGAAGUGUAACUCAAUCUGAAACUACUGCUGCAGAUACCGAGGAAGUUCCUUCUUCUUCUAAUGAGGAAAAGCCCAUGGAAACAAAUGGGAGUAAGCUUUCUGCCACAGCUGAACCAUUCAACCCAGGAGCUGUCUCCAUGACUCAUCUGCUAAACUCUGUAGCAGCCACGAGUAUUUAUGAUGCGAGAACUAGUCAAGGUAUGCUUGCAGAACCUGCUGUACCUUCGGCUGCUGCUAGAGUUCCUUGUGGGCCAAGGUCGCCUCUCUAUUAUAGAAAUAAUUAUUCUUACAUGAUGAAACAUGGAUUUCCAAAAUACCACUCUUCCAUUAUGGAAAGAAACCUGUUGGGGCCUUCAAGAAUCAUGAACCCGCAUGCACCUGAGUUUGUGCCAAUGAGAGGUUGGCAAAUAAAUCCUGGAUAUGCAGAUUCAAAUGUUUCAAAUGAGUCGAACUCUUCAAAUGACACAAGUGAGGCAGACGAUGAGAAACUUGACAAAAUGUCCAGUAUUCAAGGCGAGGAUAAUACCUCAAGAAAGAGCAGUACAGAGGCGGAGAAGUCAGAGCUGGCAAGACAGAUACUACUUAGCUUCAUUGUAAAGUCAGUCCAGCAUAAUAUGGAUGCUCCAAGUCAUUCUUCAGGCUACGAAAAGAAGAUUGGGUAUUCUGAAAAUUCUUCAGAUGCAAUUGCAAAUGAUAAAUUGUUAGUUAACAGAUUGCAAAUGAUCCUUUAUGGAAAUGAAAAGGGCAAAACAAACUUGGCAUCUCAGUCCAAUGAUCAAGAACAGCAAAAACCGAAAGAUGAAAACCAAAAAAGUGGGGAUGGUGAAGGAUUUAUAGUUGUCAGAAAACGGAGAAGAAACCGACAGCAGAUCACAAAUGGGGUAACUGAGAUGUACAAUCAUCAAUCCAUCUGUGCUUCUGUUCGUUAAAAGAGAGAGCAAAGCAAUAAAAUGCAAAGGUGCCGUCCUGUUUCUCCCAAUUUUAUUCGAAAAAUUUGUCAGUGAAUGUUACCGUUGUAGAAAUGGUUAAAGUUUGGAGCAAGUUUUAAUCAAUACUUGAUUGUAUCAUUUUAGACAUCCUCUCUGGAUGUUCUAAUAUAAUAUUUGUACAAAUUGGUUUCUUGUUUUGUUAAGAGAUUUUGUUUUGAUCAAUAAAUGAUGAUAAAUUAAUUGGGCGAUUUUCCUCAUCAAGAGAUCUGUGAUGUUGUUCUAUAAUGGAUCUUAAUGUUUUAGACUGAGAUUUGUAGUUAUGCCUCAAAUUAUUUGGUAUUUGGUUGGUGCGUGUGAACAAUACGUUCGGAAUGGAGUUGAAUUGGGUUAUCUUAUAUCAAAUGUCUGAAAUUUAAUUUUCUUACAUUUGCAGCUGAAGUUGCUGCACUGAUGAUAUUACAACUAACAUAGUAUUUGGCAAAAUUCCUCAUUCAAUUUAAAUUUGCAAUCAACAGAAACUGAAGAACAAGCCGUAAGUCUAAUCCUAAUGGAUGCAUAGCUGUUUGGAGAAAAGCCAACGGAGACAUAACACAGCACGAUAAGUUAUACACGGCAGAACCGUAUGUGCUAGUAAGCACAGUCACCAAUGGAAAACAUAUUUGAAAAGCCAAUAGUAGCAUGUGUCAAUACAUCUAUCAAUGAAAUAGAACCACAGUCUGCGCCAGUACGAGUUUAUCCAAAGUGCUGCAAAGAAGCCCAAAAUCACCGACACAUAGGAUGCUCCAAAACUCCAUCUUAAUGCCACCAUAUCAAUCACAGAAUCGCCUUCAUCUUCUCCUCCUCCUGUAGGUGUCGCUGGUGGUGCCAACGCACUGCUGCAUUUCCUCUUUAUCAUUGAGCCACAAAGAGCCGAAUUACCUUUAUAACUGCUGUCAUCAAACGUGCCAAACUGCUCUUUGUCUGGGAUUGGGCCGGACAAAUUGUUGUAUGACACGUUGAAGUUUGAUAAAAAGUUGAGGUCAGUUAGUUGAAGAGGAAUUCGGCCACUUAAUUUGUUGCGGGAAAGGUCCAGGCUCUCUAUCAUUUUCAGAUUGGAGAAGCUCUCUGGUAUAGCACCUGAUAGUAAAUUAUUGGACAGAUUAAGUGCACGAAUAUGUUGAAGAUGCCCAAUUUCCCAUGGAAUUUCUCCACUGAACUCAUUGCUCGAAAAAUCCAAUCCAGCCAUGUCGACGAGAUUGAGACCGAUGAAAAAUUCAUAUCUAUACUUUGUCACAAAUUCUACACCUACUUGUUGAUCUACUCUACUAUGUAGUUCACCUUGCGGCUGCUGAUCAAGAGUGGAAUUGUAGUAAGUAGAAGCGGAAUCAUGAUUAGACACACCAAAUCCAGAUCCAUAUGAAUAAUCAACAAUCACUUCUCCCCAGAAUGACAGGUUACCCAGGCAUGAAGGUAUCGGCCCAUUAAGUCUGUUAUGUGAAAGAUCCAUGAUACCUAAUUUUCUUAAUUGGCACAACUGAUUAGGAAUACGUCCUUGUAGAUAAUUCCCUCUCAAAAGAAGAACAUGCAAAUUCGAAAGCUCAUUGAUCUGAUGAGGAAUCCUACCAAAAAGUUUAUUGUCCCUCAAAUCUAGAGUCAAUAAUGUAGAGCUUCGAAGCAAUGCAAUUGGAAUUAACCCAUUAAUUGCAUUGUUAUGCAGAUAAAUGUGCCCCACUGAUGAAAGAUUGGAGAGAGAUACCAUGGACCCAGACAAACUAUUUUCGGAUAUGUCUAUAAACUCAAGACUUUCAAGAUUGCCGAGCUGGACCGGAAUACUACCUUGCAAAUAAUUUUCUGACAUUAAAAGAAGCCAAAGGUGUGAGAAGUUGCCAAUCCAGUGGGGAAUAUCGCCGGAUAACUUGUUGUUGGAUACAUCUAAUACCCCCAGCAAAGGGGAGCUCAACAAACCAUCUGUCAUCUUCCCACUGAAAUGAUUGUUGUCCAAACGUAAGGAACGCAAAUGAGUCAAGUUCAUAUAAUUGGGAAAAAGUUGGCCAUAGAAAUUGUUAUUUGAUAGGUCCAACAUAUCUAAGGGGAGGCAACUAGAGAAUAUAGAUCGAGUUAAUUCUCCUGAAAAAUUAUUUCCAGACAAAUCCAAAGUAAUUAGCUCUUUCAUCUCACUGAUUGAAUAAGGAAUAUUACCUUCAAAACUAUUUUUUGACAUAUCCAAAUAUAUCAAUUUCUGAAAGACAAUACCCAAAUUCUCUGGUAGCUUACCAGAGAAAUUGUUAGUGGAAAUAUCUAGAUAACGAAGCUUAUCGUAUUUGGCAUUGGGAAGUCGCGGAAGAAUUCCUGAGAAUGAGUUAUUCCACAAAAUCAAAACUUCUAAUCCUGUGUUGUUUUGCAACAACCAAGUUGGGAAAUUGCCAACCAACUGAUUGUGAGAGAGAUCAAGGAAUUUUAAGUUGGAUUGGUGUAAAAGAAAACUGGGAUUGACAUUUAAGCGGCAGUGAGGUAAUUGGAGAACCUUGAGAGGAUAUGUGGGGAGCCAGUUUUCGGUUUUCACUUGCAACAUAUCGUUUUGUGGCGAGAGUAGCAAGACCUCAAGCUUUGAAUGAUUAGCCAAUGAAUUUAUUGAGAAUGUUCCUUGGAAAUCGAUGAAAGAGAGAUCCAAAUAUUCAAGUGAUGUGAGGUUGGUCAAGGCAGAAGGAAAUUUUCCACUUAACUGAUUGUAAGAAAUAUCAAGAACUUUGAGAUGGGUCAAGUUGUUGAGACACUGAGGAAGGUGAACCACAAAAUUAUUUAACCUUAAAUCCAACUCAAGAAGAUUCUUCAAAUUACAUAUUCCUGAAAGUGAAAAUAAAAAGCUCAGAUGUCAUAAAACGAAAACUAAUUAUAGCGCAUUCAAUCAUAAACCCAAUAUAAGACUUAUAAAACAGUCAUGAAAUCAAAUUGUCUAAGUAUUUUGGUCAACAUAAAUAAUAAUAGAAUGAUAUGAAUUUAUUUCUCAUAUAAUAUGAUGUUGAUUGCAAAAGCGUUUCAAUUAAUCUAACAAUAAAAUAAUAAUAAUAAUAAUAUAAAAGCAGUCAGCAAUUCUUGCUCAUCAUAAUCCAUUCAAAAAGCAUUUCAGCAAUUCUCGUUGUUUAAAAUAAUGAUUUUCUGCGGAAGAGUUUGUUGACUUCGUCUUUUUCGUUGGAUAUUGGUUCUCUAAUCUCUAAAUUUGUUGGAUAAUGUAAAGAGAAACUCAUAAUAUAUUAGUUGCUUUCUUAAACUUUAUUUAUUCUUCUCAUAGCAUUAAAAAAAUAUAUAUAUUUGCCCAAGCGGAAAAAAAAAAAAAAGCUGGUCUUCAUAUUUAAUUUGACCAACAAGUCACUGGGAAGUAGGAAUUGUGUAUCAGUAAUGCAAAUAUUGGGUGCGUUGGCAUUGUUUUUAUAUGCUUUUUUUUUUUAUUUUUUGAAUUUAGAAAACAUUAGAUACGUGUUCGGUAGAUUGUUUCUGAAAAUAUUUUUAAAAAUAUAAAAUUCAUUCUACACAUUUUAACAAAAGAAAUGAGAAACAAUUUUUUCUUAUUUUCCUUAUUUCCCAAUACAAUAUUAAGUUCCAAAAUGAAGAAUUCUCUGUACCUCCUCCUGAAAUAAUAAUAAUAUCAACAUUAUUAUUAUUAUUAUUAUCAUUAGGUCUAAUUAUCCCUAGGUGACAGAUGUUUUAAUAAAUUUCAAAAAAAUGACACAUGUUUUGAAAACACUCGAGUGGGUGACAUUCCAUUAACUUUUGUUGUUAAUUUUAACCAGUCGAGGGUAGAGUUGAAAAAAUAAUUUUUUUUUUCAUAAAGCCAAAGAGAUGAAAAUAUUGAAUUUAUACAGUACUUUAUAAUUCAUAAGAUUUUUGCUUCUUUAUAUUCACAAAUCAGUUUGAUCAACAAGAAUUUUUUAAAAUUUAUUUGAUUUAACAAAAAAAACCUGGUAAUUAGACUUAUGUUUAUUUUUUUAUAUUUUAUAUUUAAAAAAUUAAAAAUGAGUGAGUAUGGGCAGAAACAUCAUUUUGUGGGGUAGAAAAGUCAUUUAAUUUACUAUUCUCAUUAAAAUUAAUGACAAAAGUUAAUAGAAUGUCACUCGCUCAAAUAUUUUUAAAAAAUGUCAUCUUCUUAAAAUUUGUUAAAACAUAUGUCACCUAGAGAUUAUUGUUGUUGUUGUUGUUGUUGUUGUUGUUGUUGUUGUACCCAAAGAAUCAUUUUCCUUCACAAAAAUCUUUUCUUUUUAUAUACAUUAUAAUAUUUAUGUUUUUAUAUAUUAACUAAAUCAAAUAUGUAGGGUUUAUCAUUUUUCUUUGAACAAAAAAAUAGAAAGAUCACCUAAUUUAUUCUUAAAAUUAAAAUAAUCAAUAUACAUUGCUUAAUCUUAAGUUUAUGGAAAUUAUUCCAAUAAUAAUUCUUUGAGAUAUUCUUACCAAACAUAUUUAUGUUUUUCUCAUUUUUCAGAUUAUUUUUUAAAAUGAUACGGAACACAUUUUUAAAUUUUAAAAAUAAAUUUAAAAAUAGCAUUUUCAUUUUUAUUUUGUAAAAACAACAAUUAGAAAACAAUAUUGGGCUAUUAUUUAUCAUGUUUCAACAUAAAAACACAGUGUAAAUUGUUUAAUAUGGGUUUCUAGAGAAUUUUUUAUGUUACUAUUACUCAAAUUCAAUGCUUCCAAGCUUUUGAAUUUAGCUAAUCUUGCAUCAAGAAUUAAUGAACAUAAGAAAAAAAACAUUUCAUUCAGAACUAUAAAUAUUGAAAUAAAGAUAAAUAUCAUUGUUGAUUUUUUUAUAAAAAUGAUUUAGAAUUAAGAGAGAGUGAGAGAAAUGAGCGGGUUAUUUCGGAAAUUGGUGAUAGAGUAUAUCAAGUACUAAACUUUGUAUAGAAAGCAGUGCUUCUAAUUUAAAUUUGAUCUAGUUUAAAGCAAUUAAAAAAUGGAAAUAUAUUAUCAUCUUGAUUAACAUCUAAAACAAUUUUUGUCAUUGGAGGAAGUGAAUUGUUAUAUACCUUGAAUUGUAGUUAUCCCACAAGAGCCAAGAUCCAAUGUUUUCAAGUUUGGCAAAUCUGCGAAUCCUACAUGCGCCGAUAAAAAAUGAAAAUAUUACAUUUAAAGGCAUUGUAUGUGAUCCGCGCGUUUGAUGAACAUUAAUUCUACAUUUAAUUUGCUUCUUAUCUCAGAUUCAGUGGCCUACCUAGCAUUGUCAGAUUUUGAUUAUCGCUUAAAUCCAACACUUGUAGGUUUGUCAAAUUUGCUAAUCCUGUUAAAAAAGGUAAAUUUUGUCAAUAACAGUUAUGUCACUCUCGUCUAAAUUGUUUAAUUAAAAUAAUAUGGUAAAUAUUGAAUGAAAAUUAACUGUGCACAUUGUUAUUUUUUUGUUUAUAUUGAUAUUUUAAUAUAUACCGUCACUUUUAGCAUUACCAAGAUUUGGAGUGUUUGAAUCAUAAUUUGUAAAUUAGUUAGCACUUUGAGUAAACUUGAAAAUGUGAAAAAAGAAAUUAAAAAAUGCAAAUAUAUUAUCAUCUUGAUUAACAUCUAAAACAAUUUUUGUCAUUGGAGGAAGUGAAUUGUUAUAUACCUUGAAUUGUAGUUAUCCCACAAUAACCAAGAUCCAAUGUUUUCAAGUUUGGCAAAUCUACGAAUCCUACAUGCGCGGUAAAUUUUGUCAAUAACAGUUAUGUCACUCUCGUCUAAAUUGUUUAAUUAAAAUAAUAUGGUAAAUAUUGAAUGAAAAUUAACUGUGCACAUUGUUAUUUUUUUGUUUAUAUUGAUAUUUUAAUAUAUACCGUCACUUUUAGCAUUACCAAGAUUUGGAGUGUUUGAAUCAUAAUUUGUAAAUUAGUUAGCACUUUGAGUAAACUUGAAAAUGUGAAAAAAGAAAUUAAAAAAUGCAAAUAUAUUAUCAUCUUGAUUAACAUCUAAAACAAUUUUUAUCAUUGGAGGAAGUGAAUUGUUAUAUACCUUGAAUUGUAGUUAUCCCACAAGAACCAAGAUCCAAUGUUUUCAAGUUUGGCAAAUCUGCGAAUCCUACAUGUGCCGAUAAAAAUGAAAAUAUUACAUUUAAAGGCAUUGUAUGUGAUCCGCGUGUUUGAUGAACAUUAAUUCUACAUUUAAUUUGCUUCUUAUCUCAGAUUCAGUGGCCUACCUAGCAUUGUCAGAUUUUGAUUAUCGCUUAAAUCCAACACUUGUAGGUUUGUCAAAUUUGCUAAUCCUGUUAAAAAAAGGUAAAUUUGUAGUUAUGUCACUCUUGUCUAAAUUGUUUAAUUAAAAUAAUAUGAUAAAUAUUGAAUGAAAAUUAACUGAGCAAAUUGUUUAAUUAAAAAAAUUACCUUCUAAAGAACUGUGUAUAUAAUAAUUAGAACUCAAAUCCAACGCUUCCAAGUUUUUUAAUUUUGCUAAUCUAGCGCCAAGAAAGAAGAAAAAUCUUAGUAAUCAUCUUUGGGAAAAAAAUAAAGAAUUAAGAAAUUAGAUUAAAUAAUUGUAGUAAUAAAGCUUAUGAUUCAGAUCUAAUUAAAUUGAUCAUAUACUCAAAAAUGAUUUUAUUUNNNNNNNNNNNNNNNNNNNNNNNNNNNNNNNNNNNNNNNNNNNNNNNNNNNNNNNNNNNNNNNNNNNNNNNNAUUAAGAAACAAAUUUCAAAGUUAGAUUAAAUAAUUGUAGUAAUAAAGCUUAUGAUUAAGAUCUAAUUAAAUUGAUCAUAUACUCAAAAAUGAUUUUAUUUAUUUAUUUAUUUUUUUAAAUUUUACUAAGACAUUAGAAAGUAAAUUUUGCCGUGUACAUAUUGUAGUCAAGUUUAUCAAGUUUUCCAGUCAAAAAUUGGUUUUAAUUUGACAUUAUACAUAUGUAAAAAUUAAGAGCAUAAUAAUAUCACAAGGAAUUUGGGUAGUGACUUGUUGCCGUGUACCUUGAAUUGUAGUUAUUCCACAACUACCAAGAUCCAAUUUUUUCAGGUUUGUCAAAUUUGCCAAUCCUACACCAACGAAAAGCAAAAUAUUACUUUUAAAAUUAUUGUAGAAGGUUGUGAUUAGUGUGCUAACUUGGUAAUUAUCUCAGUAGCCUACCUAGCCUUGUUAAAGAGCCACUAGUUAUAUUGAAGUUCAAGCUUAGAUCCGACACUUGCAAGUAUCUCAAAUUUACUAAUCUUGCUCAGAAAACAUUAAUUUUGAUCAAGACAAUAUAAAUAUAUAUUUUAAUUAAGAAAUUAAUUAAGUUGCCUGACAUGUAUAUCUGCUGGCCUGAAACGUAUAUGUAUACCUUGCUUGGUUCUGGAACCUUCAAUCUUAUUGUAACUAAGAUUCAGAGUGGUAAGUGAAGUUAGUGUAUUCAAAUAUGGUAAUAUGCUGUCGUUGACGUAAUUAAAACCAAGAUUUAACAUCUUCAGCUGCUUCAAACUCCCAAAGCUAUCGUAAGCUGCAAAUGCAUAUGAAGUGUUAUUAUUAAUUAGUCACUGACAAAAUAUUUAUGGAUGCGAAAUAAAUGUAUACAUAUAUACGGACCUCUAUUCUCAUAGAUGCCUGUAAACCAAUUCUCGGAUAAGUCAAGGCUUUGCAAUUCUUCAAAAGGAUGAAACAAUGACAUAUUCAUAAACGAAGCCGAAGUUCUAUCAUAAUAUUUCAAUCUCCUUGUAUAAUUGAGUGAGAGUUGCAUCACGCGUCUUGUGGUGGCGUUGCACAUAACUCCCUCCCAAGCAUCACAACAAUCAGACGGCAUGCCAUCAUCCUCACCAACCCAUGAAGGAAGAAUUUUGUCAUCAUAGCCAACAUCACUGACUGAUAUGAAGAAGCUCUUGAUUGCCAACAGAGCAGUCCUCUCUGUUUCCAAGCAUGCUUUGUAUCCCUGCAUUUCAUUCAUCAAUACAAUAAUCCAAAUUAGUGACAUUAAUGAGAACUUAAUACAGGAAGUAGUUUCCAUUGCUGAGCAACUUUUCAUUUGGUUAAAAUUAAAUGUGCAAUGAGCAACUUUCCAUUGCAGAGCAAUUUAUACUAAAAGUUUAUCGCAGGUCUUGCAAUUUGAUUGGCUGAAGACUUUUUUAAGACUUUCCAAUACAUCGCCAUCUUUGAAGACUUGUAAGCAUUCCAUGUUUUGCAACAUUCGACCAAUUUUGUCAUCAUAUCCAACAUCACUGAUAAAGUGAUUGAAAUGACAAAACACAUAAAUGUUAUUUGAAGCUCAUGCAUUCGGAUAAGGAAAGUUUCCAUUGCUCCAGUCUACACUCUUCACUACUAUUACAAUCACUUGAAAUGACAAAAAUAGAAAUUUCGUAUGAACUUGGGACCGAUGUACGGGUGCAAUUUAAAUGACCCUAGCUAAUUUUGCAUAUAUUAUUGCAACUACGUGGAAAAUUAAAGUUGACUGACUUUCAAAUUAAGCCAACAAACAAGUGGCUAUCAACUCUUUUCCCUCUAUGAUUGUUUUUUUUUUUUUUUUUUAAAUUGAAUUGUAUGAUUGGGUUUGCAUUGAAUUAUCCAACAAUCUAUUCAAGCAUUGAUAUUUGAUAUUCUCAAAUAUUUAAUGGGUUUUGAAAAUUAUUUACUAGAUUUUUGAUAAAUUGAUUUUUAUUAUUUCAUGAUCAAUAAUUAAUCAAGUAAUUUUCUAUAUAUAUAUAUUUGGUAAUUUACUCAUAAAAAGUGUGGAUCACAUUGAAAUGUUAUUUUAUAUGAUGCAUGACAUACGGAGAGGUGCAGUUUAAAUGCGCAAAUAAUUUAUUAAUUAUAACAUGCAAUCAUUGAGUUAAAGCGCAAGCGUGAGUUUGGAUUUGAAAUAUUCAAAUAAUUUAUUUCAUUAUUGAUUCUUAAAUAACAUGCUUUGGAAUUAAUAGUUCGAUAGGAUGUUUGAUAUAUUAAAAUUUGUGAUAAUCAAUAAUCAACUAAUUUUCAUUCAUAUUUAAAGAUUUUAAUAAAUUACUCAUAAAAUUGUGGCGUAUAUUGAAAUGACAAUCAAUCUUGAUAUUGACUGACAAUCAAUUUUUAUAGUGAUUGGCACUUAAGACAAUCAGUUUUGGUCUCCGUAAUGACUAAUGAAGAAUUGUAAGCCUGAAAUUCCACAUGUUGCAAUGUUGGACCAAUGAGGGAAAUGCUUCAUUAACAUUACAUGGAAAAUAAAUGUUGACUGACUUUCAAAUUAGACCAACAUACAAGUAGUCGUCAAUUCUAUUUUUUCCAACAGUUGAUAAAGAUGGCUAGUUAAGAAAAAAAAAGUUGAUUGAGAUAAUUUAAAGAAUUUAAGCGUAAGUUUGGGUUUGAAAUUAUCAAAUAAUUUAUUCCAGCAUUGAUUCUUAAAUAAUGUACUUUGGAAUUAAUAACUCGAUAGGAUGUUUGACAUAUUGAAAUUUGUGAAAAUCAAUAAUCAAUUAUUUUUCAUACAUGUUUAGACAUUUUAAUAAAUUACUCAUAAAUUUGUGGUGUACACCGAAAUAAUAAGUUAUUAUAAAUUUGUGGUGUACUCUUGAGUCCCUUUGUAUCCUUGCAUUAAUUUGAAUCAAAGCUCGAAUUAAAAUCAAAGACCCAUAUUGAGAAUUUAUAUAAAUAACUUAAGAGUAUGAUUGGGUUUACAUUGACUUAUAUAUAUCAAACAAUAUAUUCAAGGGCUGAUAUUCUCAAAAAAAAGAAAAAAAAAAAGACAAUCAAUCUUUGCGUCAACUGAUAUUAUUGAUUGGUAAUAAAUCUUAGUAGUGAUUGACAAAGCUUGGGAAAAUCACUCUCGGUGAUUAAUAGUCUUCGUCCUCAUCUUUGUUUUGAUCGUUGUGAUAGAGGAUGAGUGGUGCGUAAGAGAGGGUUCAUCGCUUGCGGAAUUUUCGCGGCCAUUCAAGAAUCAGGAUGGUUGUUGUAGAAUUCCACGAGAAUUGGCCGUGCAAUUAGGGAAAGUUCAAUAUUAAUUUAUACUAAAAGUUUAUCAUAGGCCAAUCACGGUGACCACCAAAACCUAUGAAUGAUUAGUCCAUCGAAACCCAAUGUAUGCUCAAUUAAUAUUUCCUAUCAAGAUCAAAAUUUUCACUCUAUUGCUUCACCAAUCAUGCGCAUAAAAGCUCGAUUUAUACAAAACUUACGAAUUUAUGAAAAAAAAAGUCACAAUUAUUAUAAUUGGAAGUUUGAUUGAUUUUUAAAGAUUGAUUCAAUCAAUCUUAAUGUUACUGGACAAUCGAUCUUAAUAUUAAUUCAAAAUCAAUCUUUAUAGCAAUUGACACAGAUAAAGAUAAUUAGUUUUGGUCUCUAUAAUGAUUGACGAAGACUUGUAGGACCUGCACCAAUGAGGAAAAAUGCUUCAUUAAUACUCCAUGGAAAAUAAAUGGUGACUGACUUUCAUAUAAUCGAUUGACGUAUAAUUAUAAUUAUAUAAUCAAACACGCACACUACAAGGCGACCUUCGAUUGACGUAUUCUGUCAACUAACCCAUGGGACAUGGAGUGCUAAAACCAUAAUGUACGCCAGUAUGAAUAAUAUCAUCAAUCAAACCAAAAAAAAAAAAAAUUGAUGAAUAAUAUAGUUCCAAGCAGUGCUAAAACCAUAAUGUACGCCAAUAUGAGUUUAUCCAAAGUCACCGGCUACACCAAUAUCAUAGUGACAUAGGAAGCGAUGAGGAAAUUUACGAAAGAUUUAUUAAAUGAUCAGAGACUUUCUGCAAUUUCAUUGACUUAUUCUACGAUAAUUAUAAUCAAACACGCACACUGCAAGGCGACCUUCGAUUGACGUACUCUGUCAACUAACCCAGGGACAUGGAGGAUGUGUGUUGACGUUAACCAAUAGCCAAGUUUAUAAACACAAUCAAGCAAUCGUAUCAUCAAUCAGAGCCACAUUCGACGCAUGACUAGUAAAUAUCAUAAUUGAGUUUGAGGACCACAGCCGCACGGUGAAAGAAUUUGAAUGGAGGAAAAGCAAAGGAAAAUGAAAAGGAAAAGAGGGGAAUGCUAAAGAAAAAUAAGCUGAUUCAUCAGUAACUCCAUAUGACAUUUUUUUUUUAAAAUAAGCAUACCGUGGGGGGUUAGGCGGGACCCCUACCUGUCAUUUAUAAAAGAUAAUGAAAGAUACAAGGAGGGGGACAAAAACCAAAACCUCCAAUCAAGAGAAAAAAAUACAACAGAAAAAUAAAAGAUUAAGGCAUAGCCUAACAUGAGAAUCAUAAUAAAAUGACUAAUGAAGACGGUGAUAAUAUGUCUUACGAUACUUACGGCCGGUAAGUAAUUUAAAUCCCUUUUUCGAUUGACCAACAAUGCUAAAAUCGGGACUUAAGUCUAUUCUCUCAGAAUUCUCAGGAGCAGAUAAAAAGUGUUCGUUAUUCGCCAGGUGCUCGUCAGAACUAUCAUCAUUAUCAGUAUGAGAAUUGUAAUGCCUAAAAUCUGUGCUGGAUGCUCGAUGAAGAUGUGGAUUAUACUCACCAAUGCUCCGCAGGGGAGACAAGCUUUGAUCACGAGGUUCCUUAGAAUCAUGAGUUGUGUCAUCUUGGGCAAUCGGCUCCUGAACGGAUGUAGAAUUUGUAACGUUAGGCCGGUUCUCCGAAGGUUUAGUGAUCGGGGACCCCGCGUCUACAAUCUGCUUAGUGAUGGAAAGCUCAGGUCGAGGAGUAUCUGAGGGUUGUGGAGUAUCUGACGGUAGAACUUCUGACUUCUUACCAUCUUCUACUCUGGUCUGCCGAUUCCCACUGGGUCGCUGGGGACGAAGCCUCGGAUUGGCCACGUAACACGUCUCAAUGGUAUGGCCAAGGUGCUUGCAGGAAGCACAAUAGAGUGGGAUUUUCUCAAAAAUUACAUUUUGCCAAAAUCCAGAAUCUCCCACCCCGAUUCGUAUCCUUGGCAAAGGAGGUUGGGUAACAACAUACUCCACUAAUACCCUAGCUACAGAAGGGCGAGCUAAAGAGGCAGUAGCUUGGUCAAUUCGCAAUGGCUUGCUAAUAGCUGAUGCAAUAGAAAAUAAUGCUUCCUUACAGUGCAUGAAGUGGACAGGCAAGUAAGGAAAUGAGAUCCAUACUGGAACUAUAGGGGACUCCUCAGAGCACCGAAAAUCGGUGGUCCAUUUAAAAAUUCUCAUGGCACUCCCAUUAAUGUGCCAUGUCUGCCUAACCCAUAGGCGGGAAUAGUCAUCCUCAACGUCCAAUUGAAUUAACACAUGUCGAUUAUCUAGUAAAGACACCUUAAAAGUUCCCUUCAAUCUCAAAGAAGUAAAAAAUUUACGAAUUAAUUCCAUACUAGUCUAUUAUAAGAAAAUUUACCAACCAAUGUCAACUUGAAGGGAAUGGCCAUCGCUUCAAUUUCCGCAACGGAGAAUUGCACGUUAGGCUCUCCCCCGAAAGAAGUAACGGUCUUGAUUGGAACCAUCGAGCUAGUUGGGCCGAUCAUAAUAUCCAUAAACGAACUUUUAUUGGUUCUCUUUUGAUUCGAAUUGGGGACGGAAUUCAAAAUUGAGGCAUAAGAUGGUGCGGAUGUGGGCGGUGUAGCAUUUUGAGUCAACGGGGUAAAUUGGGGAUUAUUAGAAAUGAGUGUUGAGGGCAUUCGGGAGGGCUGGUUGUUGGGGUCAGAAAUGGAUUGGGCUUGGGAUUGAUUAGUGGGAAAUGCUAAUGGGACAGGGGGAAGGCUAGUGGGAAACACACAUGGGGGACACAAAUCAUGCGCGGCCGAAAGUGGUUCAUGUGCAUGUGGAGCAACAAGCUGCUGCACGCGUGAAGACUUUUGGGCUGGGAUGUUUGCUCAUGGCUGCUGCACGCGUGGAGACUUUUGGGCUGGGAUGUUUUCUGAUCUUGACUGGAUUCGGUGGUGUUUGCUUGCAUGGGGAGCUGACAAUCGCCGGUCAGCAGCUGCAGCUGGCUGUGAACACUGUUCCGAGUGCGUGUGUGUGAGACUUUUUGGCUCGUGGGGGUUGUUUGUGUAGGAUAUGGUUGUGGCUGACUGGAUUUAACCACGGUGGUUGCAUCUUGAAGAGGUUCUUGAUUAAAUUGGCCAUGAAGCACGGGCUGGUUUUGAGAAUGCAUAGGGGCUGUAACAGCUGGCUGAUCGUCUCCCGAGUGAUCAUGUAUGGCUUGUGUUGGCUGCGGACUAGAUGCUGGAAGCUGGUUUGUGUUAGCUUGUGAAGGCUUGGUUCGAUUUGAAGGUGAUGAUGGCUCGACGGUUGGAAGGUGGUCAUGGCUAGUUAAGGUUGGAGUUUGCUGUUGAAGGGAUGACGAUGGCGAUGGUGGUUGAUUGGCUGUGUUUACGGAAGUUGGUGGCUGUUGGGGUUGGAUGGCUGGCGAUUGGCUUUUAUAUUUUGAACGAGUUUUCCUUUGAGAUCUCCUAAGAAAAGGAAAUUCGUUUUUGGAAGUGAGGGGGAGAAUCGGUGGAGGCUGGCUGCCAUUACCAUCAGCCGGUAAGUUCAUGAUAGCCGGCUCGUGAAGGGAUGGUUGAUUUGCUGCAUCAUGGCAGCCUUCAUGAGACGUUUCUUCUUGUUCACUUACGACAACAGAGGUGGGUAAGGGCUGCCGAAAUUUCGAGAGGAUAGAGGCAGUGGAUGUCGGUGGUUGAUCAGCAUGAUGGUGGAUUGGAGAUGGAGGGUCUGCAUGGGAGUGGUUUGGAGAGAAAUGAUUUGGUUGUGUGGAUGGAUUGAGGUCAUUUUGCCGCUGGAGUGAUUUGAUUCGCGGUGGUGACAGUUGGACGUCAGGCGGUGGAUCAUUGGUGAAUUUUGGGGGUCGUCUAAAUGAUUUCUUAGGAGGGAUCAAACUCCUAAUAAUUCGUUCUUCGGCGGAGAGGGUGUUGACCGGUGAUGACUGGUUGCCAUCACCGGAGGCCGGAGAGGCCAUUAAGGCCGUUUAAGGCUUAGGGGGGGGGCUUGAUAGAUAGUCUUCAAACCAUUUGUUCCGGUCACUUAUUUUUCUAAACAAACCAAUUCACCCAGUUUCCCCUCCAUGACUACUUUUAGCCUCCGUGUGAUUCAAAAUAAUUAACACAGACGUCCUGCGUGUCACAUGUAACGAGCUAAUUCUGUUAAGGCCUUCACUCCAUAGUCUUAAGAUCUCAGUGAACAAUAAAUUCUUCAGAUUCAAAUGGCAAAUGAAUUGCACAACAAGGCAUAAACCCCGCUUGAAGGCAACCCGCUAUAAUUAAUACAUAAAAAGUUCAAUUGCUCAUAAAAGAAAGAUACAGUAAACUAGUGGUAUUGUAGUAUAAACAAUACUGGUUUUUCUAUCUUGGUGGUUUCUUGAUAGUGUUCAAAUAUCAGUCCUCGAAGAAAGAUAGAGGAAAGCUAAAGAAAAAUAAGCUAAUUCAUUAUUGACAUAAUGUGACAAUUGCACGCAACUCUUGGAUGUUUUUAGCCACCGAAAUUUUUAACAUUAAUGAUGAAUUACAAAUAUGUGAAUGAAAACUUAGAAACAAAUUUUUGCUGUGAAAGAAAGUAAAAGAGAGCAGAGAAACAAAAAACAGAGGAUUUCAUUCGUCAUUCAUAACUGAUUUUCCUAGUGCAAAUGCGCAAGGUUGAACAUUCAAAAUCCAUAAUUCUAAAUCAAAAUCACCAACAGACACCUGUACAUGAAAUAUUCAGGCCUUCACUCUGGCCUUAAGACCUCAUGUACGAGAAGUUCGUCAGAUUCAUAUAGCAAAUGAAUUGCACAAGAAGGCAUAAAAAUUAGUAUAUUUUUCAAGAACCGAGCUUGAAAGCAAUGAAAUAAAAAUUAAUACAUAAAAGUUCAAUUACACAUAAAAGAAGGAUAACGGUAAACCAUGGCCAGGCAAGAUCACGGAUGAAAUAUACAAAUUUCACAAGCCAAUAUAAACAACAAUCAGUGCAUGCAUCAAUGAAAGAAAACCGUGGCCACUGCCAAUACGAGUUCAACCAAAGGAUUCAUCUUAAUUGCAGAUUCAUCUUCGUCUUCUCCUCGAUUGGAUGUUAUUGCUAGAUUUUCCUCUGUUCUGGUGCAACUCUUAUUAAUUGUUGGACCACAACGACCCAGAUUAUAACUCUUUUCAUCAAACCUGCCAAAUUGUUUUUUGUCUGGGAUCAGACCAGACAAGUUCUUGUAUGACUCGUUAAAGUUGGAUAAAUAGUUGAUGAGUGAUCUGAAGAUCACCGAUCAGAAAAUUUUUCAUUUAUGUUUGUGUAAAUUAUUCAUAGUAUGGUCUACUAUGAAAUUACAAAAAUAAGCAUAGUAAAUUUGAAUAAAGGAAAGGAAAAUGAGAAGGAAAACAGAGGAAGGCUAAGGACAAAUAAGCUGAUUCAUCAGUAACUCAAGAUCACAACUUUUGGAUGUUUUUAGCCUCCGAAAUUUCAACAAAUAUUCAAGUGAUGUGAGGUUGGUCAAGGUAGAAGGAAAGUUUCCACUUAAUUGAAACUUUGAGCUUAGAUCCAACUCAAAAGGAUUCUUCAAAUUACAUAGUCCUGAACUUGAAAAUAAAAGAUCAAAAUUUUAUAGAAUGAAAACUAAUUAUAGCGAAUUCGAUCAAAAUCCAGUACAAGACUUAGAGAACAGACAAAAAUCAAAUUGCCUAAUUAUUUUGGUCAGCACAAAUAAUAAUAGAGUAAUGUGAACUUAUUUCUCAUAUAAUAUGAUGUUGAUUGCAAAAACGUUUCAAUAAUCUGGAAAAAGGGAAAAAAAAUAAAAUGCCCUCAGCACUUUUUGCUCAUCAUAGCCCGAAGUCCUUCUUGUUUAACAUUAUGAUUUUCUGAGGAAGAAUUUGUUCACUUGAUGUUGUUCAUUGGACAAUGGUUCUGUAACCUCUAAACCUAUUGGAUAAUGUAAAGAGAAAUUCAUAAUAUUUUAGUUGUCUUCUUAAAUAAUAAAUUGUCUCAAAAUACAAUUAAUUUGUCUUAAAUUUAAUUUAUUCCUCAGCAUUCAAAGAAAAACAAAAACAAAAAAAGAAAAAGAAAAACGACCUGGUCUUUAUAUGUAAUUUUGUCCAAGUACUUUGAUCAACAAAUCAUUAGGAAGGUGGUGUAUCAGUGAUGCAAAUAUUUAAUUAUCAUGUUUCAACAUAACAAUUCUGUGUAAAUUGUUCACUUUAUGUUUCUAGAGAACUGUUUAUAUUAUUAUUACUACUCAAAUUCAAUGCUUCCAAGUAUUUGAAUUUAAUUAGCUAAUCCUGUAUCAAGAAUUAAUUAAUGAACAUAAGAUAAAUGUCAUAUUAGUUAGAUUUAGAUUUUUUUUUUCCAGUUUUGAUGUAUAGAUAAAAAUAAUACUUCAAAAGCAUUGAAAUGUAAGAGCUAUUAAAAAAAUGCUUUUCAUUCAAAGCUAUAAGUAAUGAAAUGAAGAUAGAUAUCAUUGUUGAUUUAAAAAAAAUCAGAAAAAAAAAAAGAAAAGAGUGAAAGAAAAGAGCAGGUUAUGUUAGAAAAUAGUGAUAGAGUAUGUUAAGGACUAAAAUUUAUUAAAGAAAGCAGUGGUUCCAUUUGAAAUUUGAUCAAGUUAGAAUUAGUCAAUUAUGCAUCGAGAAUCAAAAGAAUGAAGAAAGGGAAUUCAAAUUAGACUUACAAAAUUAUAAUAAAGUGAUUAGUUAAGAUCCAAUUAAGCAGAUUUACUAAAAAAAAUAUUGAAAAAUAAAGGGCCAUAACAUUGCCAAAAGGACUAGGAAACUAAGUAGGAAGGGCUGAUUGUUGCGGAAUACCUUGAAGUGUAGGUUAUUCCACAACCACGAAGACCAAUUGCUUUCAAGUUUGUCAAAUAUGCCAAUCCUACAACAAUAUAAAGCAAAAUGUUACUAUAAAAUUAUUGUAGAAGAUUGGUAUUUUCAGUAGCUUACCUAGCCUUCUUAAAGCGCCACUUGUUAGAUUUUCAGGUUAGAUCCAACACUUGCAAGUUUCUCAAAUCUGCUAAUCCUACUCAGUAAACAUUAAUUUUGAUCAAAUCAAUAUCCUUGAUUGAAUAUAAAAUUUAUGAUUAAACCAAUAAAAUUUAUUCUACUUGAUUUUUGUACAAUUUUUUUUUCACUUGAUCAGCUGUUUUAUUCCCUUAAAAUAAAUGAAUUAAAAAAAUGUUAAUUGUUUUACGAGUUAAUAAUUUUAUAUUUAUUUAUUUAUUUAUUUUACCUUCUAUUUAUUAGUCUUUUGAAUAAUUUAUAAGAUUUAACAAUUGUAUUAGAUGUAAUAUUUUUAAAAAAAAAACUAUUAGCAUUUAUUAUUUAAUAAAUCUAUUUAGAUAUUUUUAAAAUUUGUUAUUGAUGAUAGAGUUUGGGUCAAUGGUCAACAAUUAAUAGUUACUAUGAUUUUUUUUUCCCUCCCUUUCUAAUUGAUAGAUUUCAUGUGUUCCGAAAACGAAGUUUAAGGAAAAAGAAAAGGAAAAGGAAAAGGAAAAAAAAAUGGCUGUGAGGCCACUUUCCCUGGGUCUUGGUUGCAAUGCGCGCAUGUACACAGGCUGAAGCCAGCAAGAUGGUAUCAUAAGUUAACAAUGAGAACCUUACUCUGAGAACAAGGUAUAAUUUGCUCACAUCAGUUAAAACAUAAGUUAGGUUGUGAUUUAUUGAUUGCACAUUCACCACAGGCACGUAUUGGGAGGAUAUUUAAGCCGAUCAUCAUCUCAGGUAAUCUUUCUUAGGAAUUGGAGAAAUGAAGCUAAAAGAGCACCAAUAAUUUCAAACAUAUAUACCUUGCUUGAUUCUGGAACCUUCAAUGUUAUUGGAACGAAGAUUCAGAGUGGUAAGUGAAGUUAGUGUAUGUUGAGUACAUAAAAGCACCAGGUCGGCCAUACUACUAUUUCCGCCCCAGCAAGGAUCACCUCAGCCAAAUGGUACGAGCAGAACCGGGGGCAACACGAGCCGAGCAGAGACGAAUACUGACCAGAGGCAUAUACCGAGCCGAUACCUGUCCCCCAAGAGGCGGGAACACGAUCUCACAAGAUCGCGGCAGUUGCGCUUUCCCAGAACCGUUGCAGGAGACGCGAGAUCCCACGUUUGCCCAUAAUGCAGCAGUUAGAGUCCCAUGAGGGGCUGCCACGACCCGAAAAAGGUGGGACGAAGGGCAAAAUGGAAACAUGGGGACAGUGGCUAUAAAAGAAGAAGAAAUCGACAAAGAAGGAGACAGAAAAAUUGAGGGAGGGAAAACGCUGCCAAAUUUCAACCAGGCCAUUUUCUUACAAAUCUCUAACAAACUUCUUGAAUCCAAAUUACAUUGUUUUCCCGUGAACACCUUGUGCUAACUUAAGCAUCGGAGGGUUUACGCCGGCAAAACCACCAGAAUCUGGUCGGUCCAAGGGCGAGCAGAUUUCAGCAUCAACAUUUUGGCGCCGUCUGUGGGGAGCUGGAUAAAAAGCUACCACCGAAUUAGUAGUUACCGGAGAAACAGCGAACGAUUAGACAUGGAUGUGCCAAGGAAGGACGCUUUGAGGGAGGAUAACGAAUCGGGGGAGACAAUCACCCUUCGGGAAAUUGCAAAUGAAGCCCGAGAGAGGGUGAUGUAAGAUCGGUUGGAACGAAUGGAGAAGCAAAUGGAGACUCUCGCUACCAUACUGAAUGAGCUGAGAGAUGAGCGGAGAAGGGAUUUCGAAAUCCCCGUGGGGAGAGAUGAUGUUGGAGCAGAACUCAACCUCCGGAGGUGUAGAAUCGAGGAAAUCCCUCCGCCGGCGGACCAACCUUAUGGGGUGCAUCCCCACAGAAGCACUGGUCGGGUUCCUGGAGAACAAGUAGUUGAAGGGAGGAACCAACCUCGCCCCAGGCUAGUACCGGAAGCUGAUGGCCGAGGGGCCAGUGCUGAUGAAGGAGAGUUAAGACAGCGGUUGCAGAAUGUCGAGCAGGAGCGAGAUCAGAUAGCUGCACGUGAUCCUGACCGUGCUGUAGAAUUGGAGGGAGAGGUGCGCAGAUUAGCCAGGAGUUGGCCGAGCAGUUCCGAGGGGCAGUGGCCCCAGAGGACGACAUGAUGGAACUGAUGGGGAUGAAACAGGAGGAGCAUGAAUCCCUUCGAGGAUUUGUAAAACGAUAUCACCGAGCCGUGCUGGAUCUGGGAGCUUUUAAUCACCCGCAGGCGUUGAGGGGAUUAAAAGAAGGUGUAAGAAUCGGUUGACUGUGGUAUAACUUAAGAAGCCCCCUUGUACAGAAUUACUCGUCGGGGUAUGAGCAGGCGAGGCGAGAUAUAGAAAUCGAAGAGGAGAAAUCGGCAAGAAUAAAAAGUGAACAGCUGGACGAGCUGAGGUGAAAGGAACGGAGAGCCCCGACAGGGAGCGGGUCGGGAAAGCGAACUGGAGAAUCUUCAGGGAUGGGCGGAAUAUCAGCUCGGUCCCGCCCUUACCCCAUAGCUCCGAGAGCACAACAGUUCCAACAUAGCCGGGCUCAACCUCCGCGCCCCCUGAUCCCAGAGCGGCAGCAAGAUUUCCGGCAGAUGGCUGCCCACCCCUAUCACAACACUCCCAGAGCAUUACAUGCAACCAAUUCCAGGGCUAGACGACCAGAUCAGUUAGAGACUGUGCCAGCCCGAGGUGACAUUCACGAUAGCCGAGCAGUUCAGCUGGUAGACCAGAGCUUGGCAUAUAGACAGUACACUCCAUUAAAGAUCUCCCUGGAGGAAUUGUAUGAGAGGAUCGAGGGACGAGGCCUGCUGUAUCCUCCAGCCCCAAUAACAAAACCGACUUACCGACGGGAUAAGAGCUGAUUCUGCAAAUUCCACGACACUCACGGUCACACUAUAAGCCAGUGUCGUGACCUGAAGAUUCAGGUGGAGGAUUUAGUGAGGAACCGAUACUUGGACGAGUAUGUAGAUGGAAUGUCCCCUGUCGUGGAAUCACAGUACACACGGGAUGAAGGAGUUGAGAGGGAUCUGGAACGUGAACAGCCGACCAUCCGUGUGAUAGCAGGAGGUCCAACAUUGGCCGGGGAUUCGAACAGAGCACGGAAGAACUAUGGGAGAUACGCCAUGACUGGCAAAGAGGUGCUUCUGAAUUUGCCAGCAGCCAAGAAGGCAAGAGUACGACAAGUUCCCAUUAUGUGGACGGAGGAUGACGAAGAGGGCAUUUUGUACCCUCAUGAGGAUGCACUGGUGAUUAAAGCAUUAGUGGCUAGCACAGAGUUGAGGCGAAUACUGGUGGACACGGGCAGCUCAGUCGAUAUUCUGUUUAAAUCGGCCCUAGAUGAUAUGGGGAUUUCAGACUUAAAGCUGGAGCGGACGAAUACAUCCUUGAAGGGAUUUGGAGGGGGACGAUUAACUCCCAUGGGGGUCAUUGAACUCCCGAUUACUGUGGGGACAAAGCCGUUUGAAAGAACGAUGAUGCUGGACUUUGUCGUAGUAGAGGAAAGAAGUCCUUACCAGAUGAUACUGGGGAGACCGUUCAUGAGGAUAAGCCAAUGCGUAAUGUCCACGCAUUAUCUGGCGCUGAAGUAUAGAAUAAAUGGAGUUGUGGGUGUAGUAAAAGGCGACCAGAGAAUGGCGAGGAGCUGCUAUGCUACAGCGGCCAAGGAAACGCUGCAGGUUACCUCUCUAGAUAGCCGAGGGGAUUCAAAAAAUAGUCGCCAGGAACCUGUUGAGAAGCUGGAGGAGGUUAUUGUAAGCAGGAGUGACCCUAGCAGGGUCACACGUUAUUACAACAAGAACGUACGUGUGAGGCAGUUCCGAGCAGGAGAUUGGGUGCUCAGGAAGGUGAACCAAAAUACCAAGGAUCCUAACCAUGGAGCUCUUAGUCCGAAAUGGGAAGGCCCGUACAGGGUGAUACGAGCAACUGGUCCGGGAGCUUAUAAGUUAGCGUACCGAGAUGGACGAGACGUGAAGAGGUCAUGGAACGCCGAGCAUUUGAAGAAGUAUUUCCAGUAAGCAAAAUACUCUACUAAAUCUUCAAUUUGAUAAGUUAUAUUGGUCAAAUGCAUGGUGGCUUGGUGCACAUGCAUAUGUUUUGUACUUUUGUAACGCAUUCAAAUUUCAAUAAAGAGGAAUUCAGCAUGAAAUCCCCCGGCUAAUAAGCCCAUCAAAAAUCUGCUAAGGCAAGUAAAUGCCUACUUCUGCUCGGUCAACGAAAGACCAGCAACUAAAUUUACGAAGAUUUUACCAAGGCAAGUAAGUGCCUACUUCUGCUCGGUCCACGGAGGACCAGCAGCUAAAUUGACGAAGAUUUUACCAAGGCAAGUAAGUGCCUACUUCUGCUAGGUCCACGGAGGACCAGCAGCUAAAUUUACGAAGAUUUUACCAAGGCAAGUAAGUGCCUACUUCUGCUAGGUCUGCCUACUUCUGCUCGGUCAACGAAAGACCAGCAACUAAAUUUACGAAGAUUUUACCAAGGCAAGUAAGUGCCUGCAUCUGCUAGGUCAACGAAGACCAGCAGCUAAUUUAUCAAAUGCUCCUAAGGCGAGAAAGUGCCUGCUUCUGCUCGGUCAACGAAGACCAGCAGCUAAUUUCUCGAAAGUUUCGCUAAGGCAAGUAAGUGCCUGCAUCUGCUCGGUCAACAAAGACCAGCAGCUAAUCCUACGAAAAUCCUACUAAGGCAAGUAAGUGCCUAGUCCGGCUCGGUCAAGGAAGACCAGCAACCAGUUUUGUCUGCUCGGUCAACGCAAGACCAGCAGCUAACUCUACAAGAAAUCUACUAAAGCAAAUGCCUACUUCGGCUCGGUCAACGAAGGACCAGCAGUUAAUCCUACGAAAGGCAAAACUAAGAUACAAUCUAUGAGCAAAAACCGGACAAGAAAGCAAAUAAAGAGCAUUUAAAAAUCUUUUUAUAAAUGUUCAAUUGUUUACAAAACAAAUGCAAAUCUAGAGUCUAUACAAAAAUAGGCUCAAAGCUUAGCAGAGUCAACGGCUCCAGCGGCUGAAGGAUCAGCGAGCCCGGGAAGUGAGGGAUCAGCAACAUCAGGAGGUGGGAGAUCAGCAAUACCGGGAGGAGGAGGCAUGGACCCUUGACCCAUUUCGAAAGUGCGUCCCCCAGCAUCCCCCUCUUCCACCCCACCCGAAGGAACCUCCACCCGAUCCUGCUCACCCUGCUCCUUAUCUCCCUGGCCGGCCCCAGCCAUAUAUCUCUCCACCCCAGCCUCCAGCUUGCUCAUGUCGAGCUCGGGGUAUUCUUCCGUGAGCACAGACAUGAUGCACUUAUAGCUGAAAGCAACCCCGGAGUCAUACUUGGCAUCCAGCCGAUCAUCCACAUCAGCGGAUUUGCCUUUCUCUUCAGCCAGUUGGUCACUCAGGGAUUUGAUCUCUCCCUCAAGGGCGGUCCUCAGAGUAUCUCUCUCACUUUGAGUAGCCUGAAGAUCGGACUUCAGAUCACCCAACUCGCCCUCAAGCUUGGAGGAAGUGGACUCAGCAACAGCAACUUUCUCCUCAAGCUCCGUAAGCUGCUUGUUCAGCUCGGCCAUUUUUUCCUUGGACCGAUCAGCAGAUUCGGCUUUCUUUUUCAACUCCUGGUUAUCAGCUUGAAGCUUCUUCUCAUGACGCGCGGACCUGGUCUUGUAGCACGAGACCAUUGUGGCCAGCCUGAAGGAGACUCUCUGAACAGAAGCAGCCAACUCGGAGAGGCUCAUGCUCUCGAUCUCCUUCACCAUCUUGGGCCCAACCGACUUUUUAUAAUCCUUCUGAUAUGGGCUCAGGUAGUCACCUUGAUCCCGAGAUGGAAGAGGAGAAGAUCGGUCCCCAGACUGCAAGCUGACCUCAGGACUCUUGUCGGAGGUUUUCUCCCCAACACUCUUACGAGGUGGAGGAGGGGGCAGAGCAGGAACAGGCGCCUUGGAAGGACCAACGCUAGGUUUCUUCGGAGGAGGAAGAGGGUUGCUGGAGCUACUCGGGGCCCGACCACGCUUCCUGCUCAUCGCACUGAGGAUCUUGUUAUCCAUUCCAGCGGCUAUGUCCACUAGCCCCGAGCCGACCAGGUUUGUUGGAGACAGGAGGUCUUGGCAGGUUUGCUGGACACCACUUUCCCCCAGCAAAGAAGAAUUUGUUCUUCCAAUUUUUGCACGAGGAGGGGAAACCGGUGAUUGGCUUUCUCUUCGCAGAACUGGACAUGAAGUAGUACCAGCCCGCCUCCCUUGGGCUGCUCCGCAGCUGAUACAGAUGUUUCACUUCAACAAGGGAAGGCUCCUCCGACCCGCACCUCUCCCACAACACAAACAUUACCAAGAGAACCCUCCACCCGUUCGGGUGUAGCUGACCUGGGGCCAGGUGCAUACCUCCUAAUAUCUUGGCAAAAUAACGUUGCAGGGGCAGCCGAGCUCCUAGUUUAGGCUAUGUAAUCAAUAGGGUAGGAAUCAGCCUCCACCCUAUGGCCAAGAUUCCUUUUCUUAGCAGGUCCACUCGGUCCAGAACUGCUCCCCUCACCAUCACCAACUCCUUCAGGGAUCCCAACCCCACCAAAGCUGUGGUUCUCACCAGAGCCCGAAGCAGUUCCACCUCUAUUCCCUACAAGCUCUGGUUCGGGGGAGGGAGAGACAACCAAGGGGCGUGGGUACUCAAGGGUACCCCUACCAUGGGAAGGACCUACACUACUGGAGGGACCUAAGAAAUCAGUGGGUAUUGACACAUUGAGGCCUGAAUCCCCUGAUUCUUCAUCACCCUCAUCAACAAUUAACUUUCUCUUUCGGUUUGACAUAUCGGAAUCUCAAAAAGAAAACAAAGAAAACUCGAAUAUACGGAUACACAAGGGGGCAACACGGAACCCAAUCAACAACAACCAGAGAAGAGAUUAAAAGCAGUACCUGAAAUGAACUGGCCUUGAUAGCGCUGCCGUGACCGAGAAAAAACCAGCAAGUAGAAGCCUCGGACGCAGGAAGUAUGAGUAAAGUGCAGAAAAUGGGGUAGGUUAACGACGGAGAGACGAGUAACAAAACGAUGACGAUGUGAGUCUAGGGAUUUGAAACGAAAAGGGGGAAAUGAAAGCAUUUAAGUGAUGGAGACGCACCGUACAUCGAGGACAGAUAGCCCGUCGUUUUAAAUUUCAAAUAUGAAGAGUCUGGAGAUGCCACAUCACUAACCGUUACAAGGGGCCAGGAUAGAUGUAAGCCCAGAUAUGCAAUGGACAUGCUCAUUUAGGCCCAUACUCAGGUCGAAAUCUCCCCAGAAGAAAAAUGGUACCUCAGAUCCGUCUCAGUAAACAGAAGACCAGAUGAGAGGCUCCCCGGGUUGGUGAGUUUUGACAAUCAGUUUCUACUCUUCACUCGUUUCACUCGCCAGACCAGAAACUGGGGGACUGGUGUUGAGUACAUAAAAGCACCAGGUCGGCCAUACUACUAUUUCCGCCCCAGCAAGGAUCACCUCAGCCAAAUGGUACGAGCAGAACCGGGGGCAACACGAGCCGAGCAGAGACGAAUACUGACCAGAGGCAUAUACCGAGCCGAUACCUGUCCCCCAAGAGGCGGGAACACGAUCUCACAAGAUCGCGGCAGUUGCGCUUUCCCAGAACCGUUGCAGGAGACGCGAGAUCCCACGUUUGCCCAUAAUGCAGCAGUUAGAGUCCCAUGAGGGGCUGCCACGACCCGAAAAAGGUGGGACGAAGGGCAAAACGGAAACAUGGGGACAGUGGCUAUAAAAGAAGAAGAAAUCGACAAAGAAGGGGACAGAAAAAUUGAGGGAGGGAAAACGCUGCCAAAUUUCAACCAGGCCAUUUUCUUACAAAUCUCUAACAAACUUCUUGAAUCCAAAUUACAUUGUUUUCCCGUGAACACCUUGUGCUAACUUAAGCAUCGGAGGGUUUACGCCGGCAAAACCACCGGCGUCUCUGAUCCGUUUUUGCUGAACGCAGGUCUGGUGAGAGAGGGAAGGGCGAUUCCAACCCCAGUGGUUCGAGUGACAGUUGAUAACACAAACGUUGGUGAUAGAAUCUGGUCGGUCCAAGGGCGAGCAGAUUUCAGCAUCAACAGUGUAUUCAAAUAUGGUAAUAUGCUGUCGUUGAGGAAAUUACCACCAAGAUUUAAGAUCUUCAGAUGUCUCAAACUCCCAAAGCUGUCGUAAGCUUCAAAUGCAUAUGAAUUACUAUCAUUAAUUAGUCACUGACAAAAUAAUUAUGAAUGAGUAAUAUAUACAUAUGCUUGUACCUUUAUUCUCAUAGAAGUCAAGGCACUGCAAUUCUUCGAAAGGGUGAAACAAUGACAUAUUCAGAAGAGAAACUUCAUAAGAAUAAAAGAGUUAUAAUCAGAGUAGUUGAUUUUUUUUUUCUGAUUGAGUGAGAGUUGCGUCACCCGUCGGGUGGUGGCGUUGCACUUAACUCUCUCCCAAUCGUUACAACAAUCAGACGACAUUCCAUCAUCAUCAAAUCAUGAAGAAAGAACUUCGUCAUCAUAUCCAACAUCACUGGCUGAUGCGAAGAAGCUCUUGAUUUCCAACAGAGCAAUCCUCUCUGUUUCCAAGCAUGCUUUGUAUCCAUGUAACUGAAUCAAAGCUAUGCCAAUCCACAAUGACAACUUCAUCAAAAGCAUUUUCAUUAUUAAUAGUAACUGCAAGAGAAACACUCACAAGAUUUACCUGUCAAUUGUUGCUCUCUUGAAUUUUUUCUGGUUCUCUAGCAAAUAUAUGACUUAUAUAUACAAUGGAAAUUUUGUGCAGAAUGAAAAUUUUGCGCAUUUUCACGUGCCCUGUCAAUGAGAAAACAUGCAUUGAUUGAAAAAAGUAAGUGAGAGAAUAUUACCUGUUGAUACAUGUUAUCUACUUGUGAAAUAAUUGAAGAUGCAAAAUGGUUGAUUUCACGGGCCUGGCCUUUGGCAAAGUGAAAUGUUAGCCACACACUUUUACCAGUCCAGUGUCAACAUUUGUAGCAUAAGGAAAUUGCGGCAUCUCAGCUGGAUUUUGAGGGUCGCUAUUUCGUAUAUCAGUCCCAUUAUUUGUUAGUGGGGACUCACACUCUGUCCUAUAAUGGGCUCACAAAUAUUUAACAUAAUUUUGAUAAUUACUUAAACCGCGUGUCCUUGAUAAUUAAAGAAAAAGAGAAGUGAAUGCAGUAAAAGAUACUGAUGGCCGUAAUUAUGCAAAUAAAUACAAGACUUUACAGUAGAUUAGACCACCAAUUGUGCUUUUUCGUCCAAUAAUAAUGCAUCUGCUUUAGCACGAUACGAGUGAACUUAGGCUUAUCUUUCUUUCGCAAUGUAAAUUCUUGCCAAAAAAUACAUGUUAUCUACUGGUGAAUUAGUUUGAUAAAAUAAAGGCUUAAAGUUUAGUUGAGUAAAAUGUUGGCGUAAAGAAAUUAGCUACUGGAAAAUCACCAAAUGCUUGUUAAGGUAAUAUACAAUUGCAAUUGAACAUCAAGUGAUGGAAACAUCAAAAACCCCAUAAAAAAAUUAAACAAAACCAGUUGCAAUGCAAAUAAACAAGUUUUCAGUUAAGAUGGCAGAACUAAUUCCUUCACAAUCAAGUGUGGUUUCUCAAUUUGUUCUAUUUGCCCAAAAAGACAUGGUCAAGUAUCUGAAAGCAUUUUUAUUUAGUUGACUAUUCGAGUUUGAAUUUGGAAUAAGAGGUUAAAAAAUAAGUUUUGUCUUUUCUCACCCCUUUUACCUUUAGAAAAAAAAUUUAAUUUUUGGUCAAGCUGACUUAAGUGCAUCAUGUGCAAAUCACGUGACAUCCUGAGCUACCAUGUAAUUUGGCUUUAUAAGUGUUUUCUGUUUCUGAAAACAAAAAAUAAUAAAAUGGAAAUGCCUUUAGCUUUUGGCUAGACAUUUUCAGAAACGUUUUUCGUGAACAGAAAAAGUUUUUGUAAAGAGGCAUUGAGCGGUCAGGCGCUUGUCGUGGCCUGCGGCCUGCAGUCCUCAACAAUCCUCAUCUGGCCUCUUUAUAAUCCACUUUUAAUAAAAUAUAGAUAAAAAUAGAAAUAUUACUGAUUUCUAGCACAUCAUUCAAAUUAGUUGCUAUUGUAUAUCUAGCUAGUUUUGAACAAAGUAAGUGAGAAUAUUACAUACAUCUGCUUUAGCAAGAUACGAGUGAAUUAAAACAUUUGACCAGAUGAAAGAGAGAAAAGAAUGUUGAAAUAUUGACUUGAAUAUUGUGGUAAAAUGAGUUUGACUUUAGUACCGACCAAAGAAAUAACUGAAGAUGCAAAUUAAUUGGUUAGUUUGAGGUGCAUGGCUAUUGGCAAAGUGAAAUGUUAGCUUUACACUUCACUUGUGAAUGUACAACAACAUUUGCUGCAUAAGGAAAUUGCGGCGUCUCAGCCGGAUUAUGAGAGUUGUUUUCAAAUCCCAUUUCUCUUCUUCGUAUUUGUUCAUUGCCACAACAUUUGAUGCAAAAUUUGAUGACUACUCAAACGCGUUUCCGCAAUAACUAACGAAAGAAAAAGCGAACGAAUAAGCAAGAGAUACUGAUGACAGUAAUCAUGUAAAUGAAUACAAGGCUUUACAAUAUGCUUUCUUUCACAUGUAAUCUGCUGGUGAAAUAAUUUUUAUAAAACAGAGGCUUAAAGUUAAAGCUGAUUAAAAUAUUGGCGUCGAGAACGCUACAUGGAAAAUUCAACCGUGAGCUGCAGUCUGCAGUCCCCAACAAUCCGGGAAAAGGUUGAGGAGGCGCGCCCCUGCACAUUAAUUUGGCAGGUCUGAUGGGAUUUAUAAAUUAAAAUAAUGUAAUUUUAUAUAUUUUUUAAAUGAAAAAUUCAUUGAUGCCGCUGUGCGAUCCAUUGGAUCCUCGCGUGUUGGCUCCACAAGAGUUUCUCCCUAACAAUCUCCAUCAAAGCUCUUUAUAAUCCAUUUUUGAUAAAAGGAUACAUAUAUUUAUUCAAAUAUUAGUAAAAAUAGAUACAAUGCUGAUUUUUAAAUUAUACUUAAAUUAUACUUAAUGAACAUUUAGACCGACCUGUAAAUCUAUGAAUUCAAACUUCCACAACACCAUCAAUUAUUUUUAGCCUGCAUGUUACAUAUAUUUAUUCAAUUAUUUUUAGCCUGCAUGUUUGAUUGUGCUUCUGUUCUAUAGCUUCGUUAUGUUCAUUGAUAUUUUGUUGUUGUGCAGUAGUACCCAGUGUUCUUGAUAUCGCAAUCAUCACCCCAUAUGAAUCACAAGUUGUUCUCAAGGUAUACAUUUAUACUUAUCAUUAAUACUUUUUUGUUUUGCCCUCACCAGCUAUGAUUAGCAUAUUAUUUUUUAAAACUUUAUAAAUAUAAAUGAAUUAUUAAUUAAUCAUCUUUUUUUUUUAAUUGAAAUUUGCUCAAAGGGCAUCUCCACUGACAAGAUACUUGAUGUGAAAAAAUUGUUGGCUUCCAAUGUAGAAACUUGCCACCUCACAAAUUAUUCUCUCUCUCACGAGGUAUAUAUAUUUUAUUAUCUCUCCCCUUUUUUUUUUAAAUUAUAUAGAUUAUGAAAUUUCAUUUUAAAUUAAUGAAAAUAAGUAAAAUGGCUAACUUAGGUUUUGUUGAAGGCUGUAAAUGGUAGAUCGGAUGUCGAUAAGGGAUGGAGCCGCUGCCGACGAGGGCUGAUGUUGCCACCGAUGAUGGGAGUUUCUUCGGUUUGGGAGAGAUGGGUGAAAGAGAGUGUUGGGGGAGAAAUGAGAGAGAGGGGUAUUUUGGUCUCAAAGGUUCUUUUAUGGCUAUUGUUGAUAGAAAUUUGUUUGGGGGGUUAAGAUGGAAAAAAUCAAAACUUUUAUGGUUAUUGGUGUAAAUUUCCCUAAUUUUCAACCAACCGUAAAUUUUAAUCUAUUAAAAAAAUUAGUUGGCAGACAUGUAAACAGAGCAAGAAGGUUUACAGAAGUGUAUUAUUUUAGAAUUAGUAACUUUUUCAUGAAUAAUUAAUAUGAUUAGAGUUUAACAAAAUUAUAUGUAAAGGCUUGUUUAAAGAGUGAAAAUUUUAUUUUUUUCUCAUUUUUUAGUGCUUAUAAUUAAAAUUUAAUCUAGAAGUAUUUUAAUUAUAAAAAAAUUAUUUUCAAAAAUAAGUUUGACGAAUAGUUUAGUGCUAAAAUAAUAAAAGAAAAUAAUAGUUUAGUGCUAUAAUUAUUUUCUACUUAUAAUUAAGUUAAUAUUUAAUAGAAAGAACUAAAAUAAUAAAAGAAAAAAGAAUUUGCCCGGCAAUUCCUUGUUAUUUACAUUUUUGGCACUGUCCUUCGCAGAGGAAUACACCGAGGAAUCUCAGGCCGUGGCACACGUGCGGCAGCUUCUCGACAUCGUCGUGUGCACCACAUGGUUCUCCAAGUCCAGAAACUCCCGAUUGCCGCCACCGUCAGAGUCAUGUGCCAAAAAGAACGGCAGUAGGCCCCACCCGCCUUCACCAAACUCUGCCGCUCUGUCUGAUGGAGCAGCAACAGCAGCAGCAGAUAACCGAAGCGGGCCCCGCGCCACGUCAUCGCCAGUUUCAUCGGCGGUUUCUCCGAGUCUGGACAUGGCGACCAUUCACCCGACGCCGAAACUCUCCGAGUUUUAUGACUUCUUCUCUUUCUCUCACCUCACUCCCCCCAUCUUAAGUAAGCCUAAUUUUCAUUUAUUUAUUUGUCUUCGUUUCUUACAUGGUUGAUCAAAAAAAAAAAAAAAAAAAGAAAGAGGAAAAUGAUAUAAAUAUAUGUGAUUUAUUUGAAUAUGAAAUUUGUUUAUUGAUUUUAAUUUUUAAUAAUUUUGAUUUUGAAGAUUUGAGAAAAUGUGAACGCAAAGAAGGAGAGAAGCGCGACGGUGAUUAUUUUGAAAUUCAGGUACCAUUUAAUAUAAAGUUCUGAUUAUUGUUGUUUGUUGUUUGGGUCGAUCAAAAAAAAAAAAAAAAAAGAGGAAAUGAUAUAAAUAUAUGUGAUUUAUUUGAAUAUGAAAUUUGUUUAUUGAUUUUAAUUUUUAAUAAUUUUGAUUUUGAAGAUUUGAGAAAAUGUGAACGCAAAGGAGAGAAGCGCGACGGUGAUUAUUUUGAAAUUCAGGUACCAUUUAAUAUAAAGUUCUGAUUAUUGUUGUUUGUUGUUUAUGGACUAAUUAAUUGUAGAGUUAUUCAACUUGUUAUUUUUGCUGAUGAAUUGGCCAAUGAGUGUUAAAGAUUUAAUAAUCAUUGUCCGCCAAUUAAUAAGAAUGCAUGAAUUAUUUUCAUGUCUUCGUAAGUAAUGUGAGUAUUUGAAAGCGUGGGAAACUGUAUUUUGUGCUCACAGAUAAAAAUCUGCAAUGGAAAGCUUAUACAAGUAGUUGCAUCAGUAACAGGGUUCUAUACUUUGGAGCCAAUUGCGCCCGGUACACCUCCAUACUUCAAAAAUUAUCUCAAUACCCUAAAAUCAGUUUUUGCCGAAAUUUUCAUUGAUACCCUUUAAAAACGGAUAGGAAAUUACUAAGCUAUCCUCAUUUUAAAACAUUUCAACUCAACGGACGGCACUUCUCCCUUCUCUACUGAAGCAAACAAACACUCAUCUGCUGCAAUUCCCUCCAUUAUCAAACUCAAACAAACAAACACUGCAAUUCCCUCACCGGCAUCACCUCUGCAAUUCCCUCACCGGCAUCACCUCUACAGAAACAAAUAUUCAUUCUCCAUACAUGGUAAAUCGAACUUCAACACGAGUAAACUAAGCUUGAGAAGGGGAAGCUGCCACAACUGAGAAAGAGAAGCCUAGUUCGUCGCUACAUAAUCGCCGGCGAGAGCGGAUCCUUUACUGUAAAAUAGUCAUAAUUUAACUAGUUGAGGUAAGUAAUUCUCUAUAAAUAGUUUUCUUGUUGAUAUUCAGGGGAAAAAACAACAAAAAGUUAGGGUUUAUAUAGAAAAAAUAGAUUAAUUAGUUGCGGGUCUCUCAUUACAUGUUCAAAAACAAAUUUUUAGUUGUUUUACUACAUGCAAAUUGUGAAAAAUUGAUGGAUUGUGCCGAUUAUAAUUUUGUCAUGUAACACACAAUUUGGUCGUGUAAGGUUAUGUAGGAUUCAAGGUUGUGUAUUACACGACCUUCAUGUAUUGCACUUACACGACCUUCAUGUAUUACACGACCUCAAAAUUACACGACUUUUUUCACUGUUGUUAAUUCAUUAUAAUAACUUAGUUGUUUAAAGACUUAAUUUUUGCUAAGAAUUUAUAUUUGUUGCUAUGCAGAAAAUGUCAACGAAAAGUAUUCAGGAAAAAAUGAAAUGUGGCAAACCGAAAGCUGAAAAUUACUAAUUUGUCAUCGUUAGAACCAAUAAGAAUAAUGUGAAGGUUCAUUUUGUUAUUAUUUUUAACUAAGUAUGUUAUUAUUUUUAACUACGUACAAAUUGUGUAAAGUUAUUAAUAUUUGCUGCUGUGCAGAUUCUGACAACAUUUGAUGAUAACCCGAGUAUUGCCACACUUGCGACUGUGUUUUCAACUAGCCUUUGAUUUAAGAGUUGUUUCUAAUUGAUUUCAUGGAUUUAUUAUAUGCAGGCAUUCCUCAUGUAUGCAUGUAUGCUUCGGCAGAGGAAGAAAGCAGUUUGAAGAUAAAAAAAAAAAAAAAACUUUUUAAAUGGUUGUAAUAUGUUUAAUUACGAUAUCCAUUAGUGUAUCAUAUCCAAAUAUUGACAUUGUAAACUGAUAACUUUGUUUAUUUAUAAUAAUUAAUCUCAUCAUUUCUCAAAUUGUCGAAUAUGCAAUUUUUUUUUUUUUUGCUGUAAUUUAUGAACACACGAUUUGAUCUACGUUCAAAAGUAAUGCAAAGCGGGUUUCUAAACUUCAUUCCACUAGCUACUUCCUCUAAGAAAAAUUCCACAUCAUCAUUGGUUUGAAUUGUAACUGGUGGCAUAGGAUCAGAUGUCUUAAGUUUGAACUUCAUUGUGAUUUCGAAUUCCGAAGUAUCUAUAUCAAUAACUUCAACUAUCUUCUCCAUCAAUUCGGCAUAUAUUGUCGAUCGUGGUAUCAUUAUCCCUUUAGCCUUGAAACCUUUGAACUUAUACUCGUCAUUUUGCUCAAUUCAUUCACCAUUGAAGAGAAUAGCUUCAUGUAUUGCACUUACACGACUUCAUGUAUUUCACGACGUUCAUGUAUUACACGACCUUCAUAUACUACACGACCUCAUGUAUUACACGACCUCAAAAUUACACGACUUUUUUUACUGUUGUUAAUUCAUUAUAAUAACUUAGUUGUUUAAAGACUUAAUUUUUGCUAAGAAUUUAUAUUUGUUGCUAUGCAGAAAAUGUCAACGAAAAGUAUUCAGGAAAAAAUGAAACGAGGCAAACCGAAAGUGAAAAUUACUAAUUUGUCAUCAUUGGAACCAAUAAGAAUAAUAAAAAAUAACCUUAGUGACGUACAAUUGGGGAUUUUUCGCAAAUCAUGUUUUGGGCACUUUUUGGACUUGAAUGAGUUUCAGUUUUGUGCCCAGUUGUUGCACAAGUUGGUAUUAAGGCAUAUGCAUUCAUCCGAUAAGGCAAUGUAUUUUAAGAUAGGGAAAAAAGUUUGUCGAUUUUCAAUGUUUGAAUUUGCAUUAGUUACUGGACUGAAUUGUGAAGAAAUUUAUAAACCUAACUUGGACAUUGUUGAUGACGGUGGUCGUGUAUGUGAUGUUUUGUUGGACGGUUGCACAAAGUUCACUAACACAACGCUAGGUCAGAUAUUUGAAGCAACUAAGUCCAAGGAUGAUAUGAAAAUGGUUAAAUUUGCCAUGUUGUACUUUUUGGAGGUUGUAUUACUUGGAAAAGAAUAUAGAUCAUCUAUAAUUAGGGAUCACAUUCUCCACAUUGACAACUUUGAAGAUUUCAAUAAAUAUCCUUGGGGCCGUGUCUGUUUUGAGAACACAUUAGAAAGUAUGAAGAAUGUGAUUGCAAUUAGACAGAAUAGAGAAAGGGCAAAUCCAGACUAUGUCCCUGAAAAGGAGGCAUACAGUCUUCAUGGCUGUCCAUUUGCAGUUCAGGUAACAAAUUGUCAAUAUUGGUUUCGUAGAGAUUAUUAAGAUUAGGAAUAUUAAUUAUUUCUUUUACUUGCACAGGUAUGGGCACUUGAAAUUUUCAGUGAAGUGUGUGAAACUUUUUCCUCGAAAUGUAAGCAUGUCAAAUAUCCAAGAAUUCUAAAUUGGACAAUCACUAAACAUGUUAGCUCUAAUUCGCUUGACUAUUCCAUAUUUGAUAAGAAAAAGGUAAUAACAAACAAUCUAGAUCGUUAGUGUCUUUCUUUUUUUCUUUUUAAUUUAUCUUUGACAUUUAUUAAUUGGCCUAAUUAUUACAGCUUAAGGUACUAGAGAAGUUGGAUGUCGCUGAUGAAAUAGAGGCAUCACAGCCUAAUCUACAAUGGUUUUGGCAAACAAAUUGGCUGCAACAACUUGAAAAUGAUUUUCUUGUUGACUCAAAGAGUAAAAAAUCAGCCACUCCAGUCUCAGAACAGAAAAGUAGCAGUGUUGUGCAGAAAAAUUCUGUGGCCAUGGAAGUUAAAGAGACUAAUAAACGUGCGAAGUGUCAAGUUAUGUCCAUGAAAUGCAAAACGAAUUAUGAACAUGCAAAUUCUGUUGAGGACAAAACUGUAAGUUUUUUUAAUCUUUUAAUAACAAUUUCAUUUUUCAAUUUUUUUUGUUUGCCUAAUAGGCUCUGUCUUGUUCUGCUUGUAAGGGUAAACGUCCUGGUUACAUUGAUAAUUUGAUUUCUUUUAUCGAGGACAAGUUUAAUUGUUUGGAUAAGCGUCUCAAAAAGAUCGAAGAGAAGGUGCAGAAAAUUGACUCAUUGGAGGAGAAUACAGGUGAUGUGAGGGAGAUGAGAGAACAAGUCAAUAAAAUUGUAGACUUAGUGGAGUUCCUAAAUUCAGCGGACUACAAUGUGAAGGUUCAUUUUAUUAUUAUUUUUAACUAAGUAUGUUAUUAUUUUUAUCUAAGUACAAAUUGUGUAAAGUUAUUAAUAUUGCUGCUGUGCAGAUUCCGACAACAUUUGAUGAUAACCCGAGUAUUGCCACACCUGCGACUGUGUUUCCAAGCUUCACCACAAAUGCAGGCAUAGUCAAAGAGGAUCCAAUAAUUAUUCCGUCUACACAGCAAGAGGUGAAAAAAUAUGAAAGAAAAAGGCGAUCUCGAAAGGAUGCAGCUGUUUUACGCACGCCAUCUACUAACCCAUUUCGAAAAUCGCGACAUGUCAACGUCGAUGAAGCAAAACAGCAAGUUCAGUUUGAGCAUUGGCUGAAGGAGGAUAAUAUGGAACCGUAAUUCCUUAUUUCUCUUUGUAAACUUACUUUUAUUUGAAACAAUAUUUCUUGGUUGACUAUAACAAGUAAUAAGUUUUACUCAUAUUUUCUUGGCAGAAGAUUUGGUUGGUCCCUGAAAGAUGAGUUUCAGCAUUUGAGAAAGAUUUCAAUUCUACGUGGGCUUUGCCAUAUAAGGUACUGUCUUUUCGGUUCCUUUGGCAGCCGAUUAUUUUCAAAGCUUGAAUUUUGCUUGUAAACUUCACCCAGGUUGGGUUGGUGUUGGUUCCCAGAGAUUAUGAUAUGGAAUGCCCAAACCCAUUCACGAGAGAUGAUAUUGUCAGCAUGGUUCCUGUGUGCAAGGUAAGACUAUUUUCUCUCUUAAUUGUGUUUUGAUUUAGUUUUUACAUUCUCAAUGAGUCACUCAUUUGUAAAUUGAAUGUAAUUGUGCUAUUUUUAUGGCAUUCUACAGCAUGUAGGUUGCACUUCAGCCGAUGGACGGACCUUAUUAGAGUCAUCCAAAAUUGCCCUUGAUAAAGGAAAACUAGAAGAUGCUGUAAAUUAUGGGACAAAGGUAAUAACCCACUCGAUCUAUACGUAAGAAUUACAUUAUUCUUUUCAUAAUAAGGCAUCUCUUGAUCUCAUAUGAUGUAUUACUUGCAUUGUAAGGCACUGGCAAGGAUGAUAGCUGUUUGUGGUCCCUACCGUCGGACUACUGCAAGUGCUUACAGUCUUCUAGCUGUAGUUCUCUACCAUACUGGAGACUUUAAUCAGGUAUGACAAUCUUCAAUUGUAUUUCAGUGUUAACUUGGUGAUUCUAAGUCUAGUAUAAUUAUAACGUCCUUCUGUACGGGGGUUCUCAUUCAUCGGGACAUUUGAUUUGAAUUUUUGUAUGUUAUGGUUAGUUUUUAUGGUCUUGUAUAAAGAUAUGCAUUAGGAAUUAUAAUUUUCUGGACUUAGGAAUUACAUGUACAGGCAUUAGCAUAAUUUUGAUAUCAGAUUAUAUAUUUUAACUAAAUCAAACACGUUCAUGAUUCUUAUGUUCCAGCAUUUCGUCUAAUGGCAUCUGCGUCUGAGUGUUAGAGUAGUGUUCGUAUGUACUCAAGAUAUCUUCUUCUUCAUUUUAGGCAACUAUAUAUCAUCAGAAGGCAUUGGAUAUUAAUGAGAGGGAACUUGGUCUUGACCACCCAGAUACAAUGAAAAGCUACGGGGAUCUUUCAAUUUUCUAUUAUCGCCUUCAACACAUUGAAUUGGCUCUUAAGUGAGUAGCACUACUUGAUUUACCGGAGCAACUUUGUUUUCAUUCUUUAACUGAUUAAGGUUUAUUUAUUCAUAAAUUAAAUUGGAAGUUUCGAAAAAUGUGACCUUUGCAUUGAAUCUGCUUCGAACGAAUGCAGUUUUUAUCUACCUACUUUAGCUUUUAUUUGUCUUUUAUUGGCUCUAGCUCCUGAUCAUACCGUACCAUUGGCAGAUAUGUAAAUCGUGCCUUAUUCCUUUUGCAUUUUACUUGUGGACUUUCACAUCCAAACACUGCUGCAACAUACAUAAAUGUGGCUAUGAUGGAAGAGGGCAUGGGAAAUGAUCAUCUUUCUCUUAGAUAUUUGCAUGAGGCCCUUAAAUGCAACCAAAGACUAUUAGGAGGUGACCAUAUACAGGUUUUUCUCUCUCUAUUUACGCAUGUAUACACACUCUUUAGAAUUAUAAAUCUUUCUGUAAACUCAGAAUUUUGUUUGAUUUCUUCACGUGACAGACAGCUGCAAGUUAUCAUGCCAUAGCCAUAGCUCUUUCUUUGAUGGAGGCAUAUUCACUAAGUGUGCAACAUGAGCAAACUACACUUAAGAUUCUCCAAGCAAAGCUUGGACUAGAAGAUCUGCGUACUCAGGUGACUACAUGUAGUCAUAUUUUAAUUGGUUCUGUUGUGCAAUUUGGCUAGUUGGCUUCUCUCUUGUCAAUCUUUUACAGGUGAUAUUAUGAUAUAAAACAUAUUGUAUCGGCGGCCUAUUUUGGUGUUAAGUAUGGAUAUGACCCAUUCAUUAAUCGUAUCGAAAUAUCAAAAUACGGAUAUGACCCGUUUAUUAAUCGUGUUGACUUGUUUAAUAUUAAAUACAAACAAAUUAAAAAUUAAUUUAAAAAUAACAAAUGUGUCAAAAAAAUAAGUUAAAAUGACAUAAGUAUGACAUGAAUAAGUUUAUAACAUAAUAUGAGUAUGACAUGAGUCAUUAAUUUAGUGAUUAGUAUAUAUUUUAGUUUUUUUUUCCAAUAAUAUUAACACAUAAUAAUUGAUAUUUAUGUUAUAAACGUAUAAUCAUGUUGAGAUGGUCCAAAACAGAUAUGACCUGGUUAUUUAUCGUGUCGUGUCAACUCAUUUAUUAAUCGUGUCAAUAUUUGUUAACACAAAUAUGGGUCAUAUGUCGUAUUAUGUUGUGUAAUCGUGUCGUAAUCCAUUUUGCUACCUCUAAUCUUAACUGUCAUGAGAGAAUUUCUCAAGUUCCAUAUUAUUGAUGGGAAGAGAUUUUUGUUAUUUUGUUGUAUUUUGUUUUUCGUUUUACAGGAUGCUGCUGCAUGGCUGGAGUAUUUUGAAUCAAAAGCUCUAGAGCAGCAAGAAGCGGUACGGAAUGGAACCCCAAAGCCAGAUGUGUCCAUUGCGAGUAAAGGUCACCUUAGGUAUUAACAGGGUAUUCCCACAUUACUUGUUUCUAAAUUGUUGAUUAUUUCUUGUGGCACCAAGACCUAUAAUGAUCGCUUUUCGCAGUGUAUCAGAUCUCCUGGAUUACAUAGGUCCUGGUCAAGAUUCUAAAAGAAGCGAAGCACAUAGGAAACAACGACGUGCAAAGGUAGUACAUACUUAGUGCAUGUUUAGUAUGACUUAUCUAAUGGUCUUAAAUUUUUAUUUAAUCCUAUAAGCUCUUAUCAAAAUUUUUUGUGUUGUUUAAUUGUUUUUUUAGUAGAGCUCUUGAAAAUUAAAUAAACUAUUUUGCCUCUACUACAAAAAGCUCAAAUUUUGUGCUUUUGAGAAUAGAGGUUAAUUUUUUUUUAAAUGUUAAAUUAUCUAAAAUAUUCUCUAUUUAUAUGACAAUCUUAUUUUAUUCUUUUCAAAACAUAACUUUAAAAAAUUUGCUUAUUAAAGUAAUUUUAUAAUUUUUAAUAAAAGCUCUUAUUGACAACCAAACAACACAAAUUUUUGAGUAAAAACUUUACUUAUAAAAUCUUUACUAGCAGAACUCUACUCAAAUAAGAUCUAUUUGAAAAGCUAUGUGAAAUGAAGCAUUAAGCAUGCUGCUGUUCUCUGUUCCUUUUUUCUUGUGAUGUCCAUCUGAAUGGAUUCUUAAACUAAUUGUAGUUAGGAUUUGGUAUUUUAGAGUACACUCUGCUGGCAUAUAGUUUUGGAUUUGCUGAUUACACGAGUAAACUUGUUGUCCAUGCAAAAUGCAACUAACUAUUGCUGGAUAAUAGUUCUACUUUUCUGAGUGAACUCUGAAGGCACCAAAUAUAAACAUCCAUUUCUACCAUACCCCAACAAAAAGAAAUCUAACAUGCUUAUAUAGAUCACAGACAUGAUUGAAACUUUAGAAGGUUCUGAUCUAUUGAUGGCCAUAGAUUGGGCCAGCUGAUAGUUAGUAGGCAAUGAUGGAGGGUUGCUUGGUCAAGCUGCUAGUUCUUUAGAAAUUCAGAGAUGAUGAGCAGAACGAGUGAUAGUUUUUGUUUUACCCCGUAACCUUGAACAGAGUGAGAAGAAACCAUUAAUUUGAAGUGCAAUGGAUGGAUAUGACGGAUCUAUCAUUUUGGCUAGGAGAUGGAGUUCUUCCAUUCUACUGUUAUUUAAUGGUUGUUAUUAUUGAUUCUAGAAAAACAUUUUUCGAUUUGGCAGUUUGAGUUUUUCCCUUUUUUUUUUUUCCUCAUUUUGUAGGCCUUAGAGAACCAAAUAAUACUACAUAUUAGAAAGACAGGAUUAUUAUGUGCUAAUUUGAAGUAUUACCUGGUUGACAAUUUAAGACAAUAGUAAAGUAUUUCGCUGUGAUUAUUUUUUUUGAGAAUUCCAUGAUUCAAAAGGCUGAAGAAUUUCAUUAGUUUAACAUAAUAUAUAUUAGCAUAAUUUCUCACUGAGUGUUUUUUUCAACAUUUCAGGCAUGUACAUAUCAAAUUCCCAUUUAUGUUCCACUGAAUUCUGCCUCAUGUUAUGUCUGGAUUUGUUGUAAUAAAUUUUGCUAUUGUAAAAUUACAAGAUGAUUGUAACUUAAAAUGAAAUAUUUCUAUUUGCUCAAUUUUUGACAUUUUAUAUGCAUACAAGUUAAAAAGGUUUUGUUUUCUUUUUUUGGUUUAUUUAUUUUUUUCAGGUAAUGCAGAUUAGGGAAAAGAUUCCCCCAACAAAAAGAAAUCUAACAUGCUUAUAUAGAUCACAGACAUGAUUGAAACUUUAGAAGGUUCUGAUCUAUUGAUGGCCAUAGAUUGGGCCAGCUGAUAGUUAGUAGGCAAUGAUGGAGGGUUGCUUGGUCAAGCUGCUAGUUCUUUAGAAAUUCAGAGAUGAUGAGCAGAACGAGUGAUAGUUUUUGUUUUACCCCGUAACCUUGAACAGAGUGAGAAGAAACCAUUAAUUUGAAGUGCAAUGGAUGGAUAUGACGGAUCUAUCAUUUUGGCUAGGAGAUGGAGUUCUUCCAUUCUACUGUUAUUUAAUGGUUGUUAUUAUUGAUUCUAGAAAAACAUUUUUCGAUUUGGCAGUUUGAGUUUUUCCCUUUUUUUUUUUUCCUCAUUUUGUAGGCCUUAGAGAACCAAAUAAUACUACAUAUUAGAAAGACAGGAUUAUUAUGUGCUAAUUUGAAGUAUUACCUGGUUGACAAUUUAAGACAAUAGUAAAGUAUUUCGCUGUGAUUAUUUUUUUUGAGAAUUCCAUGAUUCAAAAGGCUGAAGAAUUUCAUUAGUUUAACAUAAUAUAUAUUAGCAUAAUUUCUCACUGAGUGUUUUUUUCAACAUUUCAGGCAUGUACAUAUCAAAUUCCCAUUUAUGUUCCACUGAAUUCUGCCUCAUGUUAUGUCUGGAUUUGUUGUAAUAAAUUUUGCUAUUGUAAAAUUACAAGAUGAUUGUAACUUAAAAUGAAAUAUUUCUAUUUGCUCAAUUUUUGACAUUUUAUAUGCAUACAAGUUAAAAAGGUUUUGUUUUCUUUUUUUGGUUUAUUUAUUUUUUUCAGGUAAUGCAGAUUAGGGAAAAGAUUCAUGGAGCACAUCAUGAUAUGAUGGUGGAAGAUGCACUGCCCAAUGAUGGAUUGAAAAAAAGUAUGACUAUAGUGGAAAGCAAGACCGAGGAGGUAAUAGAAGACCGUGUUCAACCUGAAGAGCCAGAAGAGAAUGAUGAUAUUACUAGAUAUGGACCGGCAAUUUCAGGUGAGUUUGUGGAAGAAACAAAUUCAGAUGAGGGGUGGCAAGAAGCCAAUCCAAAAGGUAGGUCAGGAAAUGCUGCUGUUCGGAAGCUCAGCCGGAGGCAACCUGUUCUUACAAAGCUAAAUGUCAAUGGUUGUGAACAUUCAAAUCUUAGAGAAAAAGGCAAUAGACGGGAAAUUGUAUCUCCAGUACGGGAAAAAGCUUCAAGGACCACCACCACUGAGUUAACAGGCAUAAAGGAUUCAAUUAAACAGGUGAGUUUGUGGAAGAAACAAAUUCAGAUGAGGGGUGGCAAGAAGCCAAUCCAAAAGGUAGGUCAGGAAAUGCUGCUGUUCGGAAGCUCAGCCGGAGGCGGCCUGUUCUUACAAAGCUAAAUGUCAAUGGUUGUGAACAUUCAAAUCUUAGAGAAAAAGGCAAUAGACGGGAAAUUGUAUCUCCAGCACGGGAAAAAGCUUCAAGGACCACCACCACUGAGUUAACAGGCAUGAAGGAUUCAAUUAAAUUGCAGGCAAAAGCUUCUGUCUCCAAAGUUUAUGCAAGUCCACCAAAC